rnacentral:rRNA from 1 species
CUCCUUUGACGUUAGCGGCGGACGGGUGAGUAACACGUGGGUAACCUACCUAUAAGACUGGGAUAACUUCGGGAAACCGGAGCUAAUACCGGAUAAUAUUUCGAACCGCAUGGUUCGAUAGUGAAAGGUGGUUUUGCUAUCACUUAUAGAUGGACCCGCGCCGUAUUAGCUAGUUGGUAAGGUAACGGCUUACCAAGGCGACUAUACGUAGCCGACCUGAGAGGGUGAUCGGCCACACUGGAACUGAGACACGGUCCAGACUCCUACGGGAGGCAGCAGGG